GAUGAACGCUGGCGGUAUGCCUAACACAUGCAAGUCGAACGGAACCUUCGGGUUUAGUGGCGGACGGGUGAGUAACGCGUGAGAAUCUGCCUCCAGGAUGGGGACAACAAUUGGAAACGAUUGCUAAUACCCGAUAUGACGAAAGUUGAAAGAUUUAUCGCCUGGAGAUGAGCUCGCGUCAGAUUAGCUAGAUGGUGUGGUAAAGGCGCACCAUGGCGACGAUCUGUAGCUGGUCUGAGAGGAUGAGCAGCCACACUGGGACUGAGACACGGCCCAGACUCCUACGGGAGGCAGCAGUGGGGAAUUUUCCGCAAUGGGCGCAAGCCUGACGGAGCAAUACCGCGUGAGGGAGGAAGGCUCUUGGGUCGUAAACCUCUUUUCUCAGGGAAGAACAAAAUGACGGUACCUGAGGAAUCAGCAUCGGCUAACUCCGUGCCAGCAGCCGCGGUAAUACGGAGGAUGCAAGCGUUAUCCGGAAUGAUUGGGCGUAAAGCGUCCGUAGGUGGUUAUGUAAGUCUGUGGUUAAAGCGUGGGGCUCAACCCCAUAAAGGCCAUGGAAACUACAAGACUUGAGUGAAGUAGGGGUAGAGGGAAUUCCCAGUGUAGCGGUGAAAUGCGUAGAGAUUGGGAAGAACACCGGUGGCGAAAGCGCUCUACUGGACUUAAACUGACACUGAGGGACGAAAGCUAGGGGAGCGAAAGGGAUUAGAUACCCCUGUAGUCCUAGCCGUAAACGAUGGAUACUAGGUGUUGCCCG
rnacentral:rRNA from 1 species